rfam:Thermoproteus tenax Kra 1, complete genome
AAACCGGUUGAUCCUGCCGGACCUGACCGCUAUCGGGGUGGGGCUAAGCCAUGCGAGUCGCGCGCCCGGGGCGCCGGGCGCGGCGCACGGCUCAGUAACACGUACCCAACCUAACCUCGGGAGGGGGACAACCCCGGGAAACUGGGGCUGAUCCCCCAUAGGGGAAGGGCGCUGGAAGGCCCCUUCCUCCAAAGGGAUCGCGGGCGAUCUCCCGCGGUCCGCCCGAGGGUGGGGGUACGGCCCAUCAGGUUGUUGGCGGGGUAACGGCCCGCCAAGCCGAAGACGGGUAGGGGCGGUGAGAGCCGUGAGCCCCGAGAUGGGCACUGAGACAAGGGCCCAGGCCCUACGGGGUGCAGCAGGCGCGAAUACUCCGCAAUGCGGGCAACCGCGACGGGGCCACCCCGAGUGCCGGGCGAAGAGCCCGGCUUUUGCCCGGUGUAAGGAGCCGGGCGAAUAAGCGGGGGGUAAGUCUGGUGUCAGCCGCCGCGGUAAUACCAGCCCCGCGAGUGGUCAGGGUGAUUACUGGGCUUAAAGCGCCCGUAGCCGGCCCGGCAAGUCGCUCCUGAAAUCCCCAGGCUCAACCUGGGGGCAGGGGGCGAUACUGCCGGGCUAGGGGGCGGGAGAGGCCGCCGGUACUCCGGGGGUAGGGGCGAAAUCCUAUAAUCCCCGGAGGACCACCAGUGGCGAAAGCGGGCGGCCAGAACGCGCCCGACGGUGAGGGGCGAAAGCCGGGGGAGCAAAGGGGAUUAGAUACCCCUGUAGUCCCGGCCGUAAACGAUGCGGGCUAGCUGUCGGCCGGGCUUAGGGCCCGGCCGGUGGCGUAGGGAAACCGUUAAGCCCGCCGCCUGGGGAGUACGGCCGCAAGGCUGAAACUUAAAGGAAUUGGCGGGGGGGCACCACAAGGGGUGAAGCUUGCGGCUUAAUUGGAGUCAACGCCGGAAACCUUACCCGGGGCGACAGCAGGAUGAAGGCCAGGCUAACGACCUUGCCGGACGAGCUGAGAGGAGGUGCAUGGCCGUCGUCAGCUCGUGCCGUGAGGUGUCCGGUUAAGUCCGGCAACGAGCGAGACCCCCACCCCUAGUUGCUACCCCGCUCUUCGGGGCGGGGGGCACACUAGGGGGACUGCCGGCGUAAGCCGGAGGAAGGAGGGGGCGACGGCAGGUCAGUAUGCCCCGAAACCCCGGGGCUGCACGCGAGCUGCAAUGGCGGGGACAGCGGGAUCCGACCCCGAAAGGGGGAGGCAAUCCCGUAAACCCCGCCCCAGUAGGGAUCGAGGGCUGCAACUCGCCCUCGUGAACGUGGAAUCCCUAGUAACCGCGUGUCACCAACGCGCGGUGAAUACGUCCCUGCCCCUUGCACACACCGCCCGUCGCACCACCCGAGGGAGUUCUCUGCGAGGCCCCUCGCUUGGGGCAACCCAGGUGGGGGGACGAGCAGAGAACUCCCGAGGGGGGUGAAGUCGUAACAAGGUAGCCGUAGGGGAACCUGCGGCUGGAUCACCUCCU